UGGAGUGGGGCAGGUGGCCGCCCGAAGGGGAGGAAAGUCCGGGCUCCACAGGGCAGGGCGCUGGGUAACACCCAGUCCUGGUGACAGGAAGGAAAGUGCCACAGAAAAUACACCGCCUCUCAAACAGGGGUAAGGGUGAAAAGGUGAGGUAAGAGCUCACCAGCUCGUCGGUGACGGCAAGGCUUGGCAAACCCCGCCUGGAGCAAGACCAAAUAGGGGGACGCUGAGGGUGGCCCGCCCGAGUCCCCGGGUAGGUCGCUGGAGCCUGCUGGCAACGGCAGGCCUAGAUAAAUGGUCACCACCCAUGGGAGGGUGACCUCCUCUGGGUACAGAACCCGGCUUAUGAACCACUCCAACAC
rnacentral:RNase_P_RNA from 1 species